rnacentral:tRNA from 1 species
GCCUGGGUGGCGGAACUGGUAGACGCAAGGGACUUAAAAUCCCUCGGACUUUAAUGUCUGUACGAGUUCAAUUCUCGUCCCAGGUACCA